UUUCUCUCCAUCUCCACACAUUUUCCAUCCACGAAAACCUAACUAAAACCAUAGCAUCCACAACAGCGACAAGCAAUGCAAAAUGACGGAAGCCACGAAUGACUACGGCUGCUGAUAACCUUCAACGACGACCAACUCUAACGAUGACUGCUGAUGAACUUCGACGAUGAUCGACUUUGCGGACGGCUGCCGAUGAACUUUAACGAAGAUCGAUGCUAACGAUGACCCUCGAUGCAAAUAGAUCAGCUACACUCAAACGGCUACACGCGAAUAGCUCCACACUCGAACUUCUGAGAUCUUCAUCACUUUCAUCGGUUAGCCGCAUGAACGUCACAGAGUAGGCUACAACAUGAAAAAGGAUGGAAUGAAACUCGUGAUUUGACUAGAAAAGAAAAACCUUGCAUCUUUGCCCUAGGCUUUCAAAAGCAUUCUCAUUCAGAUUAGGGGCUUUAAACAGCAAUGGUUGUCUAUUACGUUCUCAAAGGCUAUUUUUCUUUGCAAUGGUCUUGUUGCAAUUCUUACUAGGUUGUUUGGGAAUGUACUAGUCGAUAGUCUGUCUCUUGGACCAGUGGCACCUUUUGAUGUUGUUGCAUGCUUUCUUGCCAUUGGUAUGACCAUCAUUAUGACAUCAUGGACUGAGAACUAUAGGGAUCCAUCAGAGAGAAAGGAUUUGCUCACCCAGUUCAGCGUGGCUGCUGUUGCCAUUGCACUUGAUGAGAAGAUCGCGCUGCUAGGUGCAAUACAGUCUAUUUAAAGGUUCAAUGUAUUGCAGGCUUCGUGAAUUGAAACAGCUUGGUGAUUACUUUUGUAUGUUUAUUCAUUUUUGUGAAUGAUGUUCCGUAUUUGUUAAUCCUUGAAUUUGAGGGUGCUACAUUCACAAAUAUGAAUAUGUAUUUAGUAGGUGUGCAUAUGAUACUAUCAGGCUAGCUAUUUGAAAUCAGAAAUUGAUGUUUAGUCAAAUAUUGUUGGGGAUGUCCUGAUUAUAAUCAAAGUUUUAAGUUUAGUAAAUUGGUAUUAUUGAUGGAAGCUUGUGCUUCACUCGUUGUUUGGUUUGGAGGUUUUGGACUAUACAUUGACAUGUUUAUGAAAAUUACAUUAUGAACUUGUUGAUCACAAUUAUAUUAUGAACAA